GAUGUACGCUAGCGGCAGGCUUAAUACAUGCAAGUCGAGGGACAGCACAGGUAGCAAUACUGGGUGGUAACCGGCAAACGGGUGCGGAACACGUACACAACCUUCCUUUAAGUGGGGGAUAGCCCAGAGAAAUUUGGAUUAAUACCCCGUAAUAUAGUUGAAUGGCAUCAUUUGAUUAUUAUAGCUACGGCGCUUAAUGAUGGGUGUGCGGCUGAUUAGAUAGUUGGCGGGGUAACGGCCCACCAAGUCUACGAUCAGUAGCUGAUGGGAGAGGGCCGUCGGCGACACGGGCACUGUGGCACGGGCCCGACUCCGUCGGGCGGCAGCAGUAAGGAAUAUUGGUCAAUGGACGCAAGUCUGAACCAGCCCUGCCGAGUGGGGGAUUAAGGUCCUCUUGAUUGUAAACUUCUCGUAUUUGGGACGAAAAAGGGCCUUUCUAGGUCAACUGACGGUACCAGAUGAUAAGCACCGGAUAACUCCGUGCCAGCCGCCGCGGUAAAAC
rnacentral:rRNA from 1 species